UACGGGGGGAGCAAGCGUUGUUCGGAUUUACUGGCGUAAAGGGCGCGUAGGCGGUCAGCACAAGUCAGUUGUGAAAUCUCCGGGCUUAACUCGGAAAGGGUCAACUGAUACUGUGCGACUAGAGUGCGGAAGGGGCAACUGGAAUUCUCGGUGUAGCGGUGAAAUGCGUAGAUAUCGAGAGGAACACCUGCGGCGAAGGCGGGUUGCUGGGCCGACACUGACGCUGAUGCGCGAAAGCCAGGGGAGCGAACGGG
rnacentral:rRNA from 1 species